GGCCUCUGUGGUGUAGUGGUAGCACGCACUCGCGGUAUGGGUGAAAAGCGGGUUCAGCUCCCGUGGAGGUCG